rnacentral:rRNA from 1 species
UACGUAGGGGGCAAGCGUUGUCCGGAAUCAUUGGGCGUAAAGAGCGUGUAGGCGGCUUGGUAAGUCCGCUGUGAAAGUCCAGGGCUCAACCCUGGAAAGCCGGUGGAAACUGUCAAGCUUGAGUCCGGAAGAGGCGAGUGGAAUUCCUGGUGUAGCGGUGAAAUGCGCAGAUAUCAGGAGGAACACCGAUGGCGAAGGCAGCUCGCUGGGACGGUACUGACGCUGAGACGCGAAAGCGUGGGGAGCAAACGGG